UCGCUCUGGGCAAAAGAUGUGGAAUUCUUCUUGCUAGUGAUGAUCAAUGCGAUACUCCACUUCAACUUAAGAAGCUGGAACAGCUCCACUGCAAACUGGACCAUGACAAUCCCCUGUUGAUCCCGAGUGUUGUGUGACAGUAUUUUGACAGUUGUAUGUUGCGUUCUUUUGUGUGGCUUUCUUCUUCUUUAUGGCUUAUAUCUCUUGGAUGUCAUGGAUGAUUUUGAUCCCACCAGUAUAUCACACCUGCUGCUGGUGUUUUUGUACUGCACCCAUGAAAUGGUUAAUGCAAUCUGCUUUCUACUACAAC
rnacentral:lncRNA from 1 species